rnacentral:rRNA from 1 species
UGGGGAAUUUUGGACAAUGGGCGCAAGCCUGAUCCAGCCAUGCCGCGUGAGUGAAGAAGGCCUUCGGGUUGUAAAGCUCUUUCAGAUGAGAAGAAACGGUUUUGGCUAAUAACUGAGACUAAUGACGGUAUCAUCAGAAGAAGCACCGGCUAACUACGUGCCAGCAGCCGCGGUAAUACGUAGGGUGCGAGCGUUAAUCGGAAUUACUGGGCGUAAAGCGUGCGCAGGCGGUUUUGUAAGACAGAUGUGAAAUCCCCGGGCUUAACCUGGGAACUGCAUUUGUGACUGCAAGGCUAGAGUAUGGCAGAGGGGGGUAGAAUUCCACGUGUAGCAGUGAAAUGCGUAGAUAUGUGGAGGAAUACCGAUGGCGAAGGCAGCCCCCUGGGUCAAUACUGACGCUCAUGCACGAAAGCGUGGGGAGCAAACA